rnacentral:rRNA from 1 species
ACGGGUGAGUAACGCGUGGGAAUCUACCCAUCUCUACGGAAUAACGCAUGGAAACGUGUGCUAAUACCGUAUACGUCCUUCGGGAGAAAGAUUUAUCGGAGAUGGAUGAGCCCGCGUUGGAUUAGCUAGUUGGUGGGGUAAAGGCCUACCAAGGCGACGAUCCAUAGCUGGUCUGAGAGGAUGAUCAGCCACACUGGGACUGAGACACGGCCCAGACUCCUACGGGAGGCAGCAGUGGGGAAUAUUGGACGAUGGGCGCAAGCCUGAUCCAGCCAUGCCGCGUGAGUGAUGAAGGCCCUAGGGUUGUAAAGCUCUUUCACCGGUGAAGAUAAUGACGGUAACCGGAGAAGAAGCCCCGGCUAACUUCGUGCCAGCAGCCGCGGUAAUACGAAGGGGGCUAGCGUUGUUCGGAUUUACUGGGCGUAAAGCGCACGUAGGCGGACUAUUAAGUCAGGGGUGAAAUCCCGGGGCUCAACCCCGGAACUGCCUUUGAUACUGGUAGUCUUGAGUUCGAGAGAGGUGAGUGGAAUUCCGAGUGUAGAGGUGAAAUUCGUAGA